rnacentral:rRNA from 1 species
AUUGUCCGUAGGACAAUGGUAGGAGAGCGUUCUAAGGGCGUCGAAGCAUGAUCGCAAGGACAUGUGGAGCGCUUAGAAGUGAGAAUGCCGGUGUGAGUAGCGAAAGACGGGUGAGAAUCCCGUCCACCGAUUGACUAAGGUUUCCAGAGGAAGGCUCGUCCGCUCUGGGUUAGUCGGGUCCUAAGCUGAGGCCGACAGGCGUAGGCGAUGGAUAACAGGUUGAUAUUCCUGUACCACCUAGUAUCGUUUUAAUCGAUGGGGGGACGCAGUAGGAUAGGCGAAGCGUGCUAUUGGAUUGCACGUCCAAGCAGUAAGACUGAGUGUUAGGCAAAUCCGGCACUCAUAAGGUCAAGCUGUGAUGGGGAGAGGAAAUUGUUUCCUCGAGUCGUUGAUUUCACACUGCCAAGAAAAGCCUCUAGAUAGAUAACAGGUGCCCGUACCGCAAACCGACACAGGUAGUCAAGAUGAGAAUUCUAAGGUGAGCGAGCGAACUCUCGUUAAGGAACUCGGCAAAAUGACCCCGUAACUUCGGGAGAAGGGGUGCUCUUUAGGGUUAACGCCCAGAAGAGCCGCAGUGAAUAGGCCCAAGCGACUGUUUAUCAAAAACACAGGUCUCUGCUAAACCGUAAGGUGAUGUAUAGGGGCUGACGCCUGCCCGGUGCUGGAAGGUUAAGAGGAGUAGUUAGCUUCUGCGAAGCUACGAAUCGAAGCCCCAGUAAACGGCGGCCGUAACUAUAACGGUCCUAAGGUAGCGAAAUUCCUUGUCGGGUAAGUUCCGACCCGCACGAAAGGCGUAACGAUUUGGGCACUGUCUCAACGAGAGACUCGGUGAAAUCAUAGUACCUGUGAAGAUGCAGGUUACCCGCGACAGGACGGAAAGACCCCGUGGAGCUUUACUGUAGCCUGAUAUUGAAAUUCGGCACAGCUUGUACAGGAUAGGUAGGAGCCUUUGAAACGUGAGCGCUAGCUUACGUGGAGGCAUUGGUGGGAUACUACCCUAGCUGUGUUGGCUUUCUAACCCGCACCACUUAUCGUGGUGGGAGACAGUGUCAGGUGGGCAGUUUGACUGGGGCGGUCGCCUCCUAAAAGGUAACGGAGGCGCUCAAAGGUUCCCUCAG